UGAAAACCACCCUAUGGCUGACACCAAGGUGAAAGGAAAGGACUGGUACCUAAUAGCAAAAGCAGCAGUAUAUGUGUGUGCAUGUGUGUAUUACUACAAAUACAUCUGUUCCGGCAAGGUAUCUCUACUACAGAAUCAACCCGCGGGAAUGUUUAGCUGAGGCUCCAGAGACCCUGUUGAGGAGUGUGCCGUGUCUGAGGUCAACUGGUAAAAAAGCCCUCACAGGAGGCUCAGGACCGCCUCCGGGCAUACGCAGAGCCCUAGCGGCAGAAAAGAACUGUCAGCCGCAUGAAAAUGCAAGUGCAGCAGUGACCCGAGUCAGACCGACAAAAACAAACUAACUUUCAACACAGGUUUUCAUCUCAUUUCCUCAACUCCAUUUGAAACACAUAUGCACACAGGACUGCUGACCAAUUAUUCCAGAGCUCAGUCUAUACCACUUUACACAUCUGGAUGACUAAUUUCAACUAAAGAAACUCCUAGAGAGUGUAUUCAGUCUACACAGAUCUGUUAAUACAUUGCUAUGGGAUGAGCUUCAACAAGCUGUAAAGUUUCGCUUUAACAUUCAAAUACAAUCUUAGGCCAGGUGCGGUGGCUCAUGCCUGUCAUCCCAGCACUUUGGGAGGCUAAGGCAGGCGGAUCACCUGAAGUCAGGAGUUUGAGACCAGCCUGGCCAACAUAGUGAAACUCUGCCUCUACUAAAAAUACAAAAAUUAGCUGGGUGUGGUGGCAUGCGCCUGUAGUCCCAGCUACUCAGGAGGCUGAGGCAGGAGAAUCGCUUGAACUCAGGAGGCAGAGCUUACAGUGAGCCGAGAUUGUGCCACUGAACUCCAGCCUGGGCGACACAAUGAGACUCUGUCUCAAAACAAAACAAAACAAAACAAACAAACGAACAAAAAACAAAUAUAAUUUUAAAGUCAUUCUCUCAUCCCAGAAACAUCCCUGCUGGCCUAUGAAGUGCCAGCCACUGUUCUAUACAUUGGAGACAUUCUAAUAGCAGAAGACGGAACAGAAAAGGAUUUUUAAAAAAGUAAAACAGAGAUAGACAAAUGAGUUUUGCAAGGGCAAGCAUUUGCUAUUUUAUCUAGGAUAAGCAGAGAAGGCCUCUUUUAUGGCAUUUGAGCAGACAGCUGACAGAAAGGGAGAAAACCAUGCAAAAAAUGUAGAAAAGUCACUGCAAACAGAGGGAAGAGCAAGUGCAAAGGCCCUGGGGCAUGUGUAUGUUUACCAGCUGGCCCUGGGGCGUGCAUAUGUUUGGUGUGCACCAGGAAGAGGACCAAGGCCAAGGUUCUUUCUCUGAGUAAGGGUUUUGAACUGAGGCAUGACAGGAUCUGACUCAUGUUCUAGAAGAAUCACUGUGAUGGCUGGGUGAAGAAUUGCAGCGGGGCAGGAAUGAGAACAGGAAGAAUUGUAGUGGGGUAGAAGUGAGAGAGAAGUGAAACCCAGUUGGAAGGAAGGUGACUGCAAUAGUCCAGGUAAGAAUGGUGGUGCCUUGGACCCAGUGGUAGCAGUGAAAAAGGUGAGAGGCGCCUGGGCCCUGGAUAUACUCUGAACGCCCGUGGAGCAGACAGAACUGGCUGAUGGCCUGGCUGUGGGGGUAAAAGAAAAAAGAGAUAUAUAUCCAAGGUUUCUGGCCUAAACAAAUGGAGGACUGGAGGUCAUGUCCUUCAGUGGAGAAGACUGAGCAUGGUCCACCCUCAGGGAGAAAGCUCAGAGGCUCAGCUGGAGUGUGUUAUCAUCUGAGGCAUCUAUCAGAGGAUACCUAUCAGCCACCUCACCAGGGAUGGGGAGCACCCAGCAGGGACUCCAGCGGGCAGCUGGGCUGUGGACUGAAAUCCGGAGUCUGCAGCAUUUAGUUGUUAUUUAAAGCUGGGAGCACGCAUGAGGUCAUCUAGGGAGAAGAUAUAAUUAGAGAAGUCAGAGGACCGAGCCCUGGGGCCUUCUACAUCGUAAAGGAUAAGGGAUGAGGAAGAACCAGCAAACGAGAUGGGGAGGAGUGACCAGUGAAGCCAAGCGAAGCAAGUGUUGGCAAGAAGGGUGUCAGUUGAUUCCAUGUGUCCAGCACUGCUGAGAGGUGAAGCAAUUCCAAGACAGAAUCCUAUUCCUGUGGCAACAGGAACCUUUGGUGACCUUGGCAAAAGCUGUCUCAGCAGAGUGCUGGACGGAAGCCCUCAUGGAGGAAAGAGGGUAUGGAGAACUCGGUUCAGGAAUUUGGCUGUGAAGGGAAGAUGGGGCGGCUCUUGUGGUAGGGUUCGGAAGGGAGAGCUGUCCGUAUGCUGGUGGGGUGCAGAACUUGAUGGUGUGGAAGAGGGAGGACAACGCUGAAGUGUGCUCAUUGGUGUUCCAGAGGUGGGGAGCCCAGGCACGAGGGAGGACAGAUAGCACUACUCGCUCGCCCACCCACACAGGAAGGCAGGUGAGGGACAUGUCCGGGAGCAGGAGCAUGUUGUCUAGGAUGGCCCGAAGUGAAAAUUAACACUGAGUGGAUUGAAGAUGACAGCUCCCGAUCUUACUGCUCUCAUUCCCCACCAAAUCAGAGAUGGAGGGGAAGAAGCCCUCACCACCCUCCAUCCCUGCCACUUGCCUUAGUCCUGUGAAGGAGUCACAGCCUUAAGAGUGCUCUGGUGACUGCUUUGAUCGACCAGAUUUGAUAGAUCACAAGAAUGCCAUUAUGGACGACAGUUUUUUUCCUGUGUAUUGGACAUAAUAGAAAUGAAGUUAAAACCAAAAGCUUGAGUCUCUAAGGCAGCAUUCCCAAAACGGUCUGCCCUUACCUAUUUUGAAAGAGUCACAUGACUUCAUCCGGGACCUGAAAUGGAUUUUCUCCAUCUUAAAAUCUCAUGGCCUACGAAUGACAUUAUUCACUGAACACUCAUCCAAAGUGGCAGCAGCACGGAAUGGAGGAGGGUCACUGCUCCCUAACAAAUCACACCGUCGAGCAGCACAACACACAUCCUGUAUGUUUAAGUCAUGACAACUAUAUGACCCUCUCGCUGACUAAUGAUCAACAAAUGAGCCUCCAAAGGCCAUUAUCGAAACUCUUAUGCUCAUAUUCUAGCCCAAAAUGCACAUUUGGGGAUGGGGAAAGUGGUCUCAGGUCUGAUUCAUUGAAUAAAUAUAUCUCCUUUGAUGGAAAGAAAUGACAAAUGUCGUGCCUUCCUCUUCCACUCCUAUAAAUGCUAGAAGUGCAGAGUGAAAGG
rnacentral:lncRNA from 1 species